UAUCCCAGACUUCCAAGAAAAGUUCCGGCGUGAGUCACUUUACUGACCGUACCGCAAACCGACACAGGUGGGCAAGGAGAAUAUCCUAAGGCGUUUGAGAGAAGCCUCUCUAAGGAACUCUGCAUAAUGACACCGUAACUUCGGGAUAAGGUGUGCCGACGGUAGGUGAUGUGCCUGCGCACAAAGCCCAAGUCGGUUGCAGUGAAACGGGGGUAGCGACUGUUUACCAAAAACACAGCACUCUGCAAACUCGUAAGAGGAUGUAUAGGGUGUGAUGCCUGCCCGGUGCCGGAAGGUUAAGAGGAGGAGUCAGCCGCAAGGCAAAGCCCCGAAUCGAAGCCCCGGUAAACGGCGGCCGUAACAAUAACGGUCCUAAGGUAGCGAAAUUCCUUGUCGGGUAAGUUCCGACCUGCACGAAUGGCAUAACGACUUCCCCACUGUCUCGGAGAGGCCCUCAGCGAAGUAGCACUAGGGGUGAAGAUACCCUUUACCCGCGGCAGGACGGAAAGACCCCGUGAACCUUUACUGUAACUUGGCACUGAUUUUCGGGUUAGCUUGCGUAGGAUAGGUGGGAGGCUAUGGAGCCGGGAUUCCGGUCUCGGCAGAGCCAACCUUGAAAUACCACCCUGGCUAACCUAAAAAUCUAACUCGCUUCCGUAAUCCGGAAGGAGGACAAUGCCUGGUGGGCAGUUUGACUGGGGCGGUCGCCUCCCAAAAAGUAACGGAGGCGCGCGAAGGUUCCCUCAGCCUGAUUGGAAACCAGGCGCAGAGCGUAAUGGCAUAAGGGAGCUUGACUGCGAGACAAACAAGUCGAGCAGGUGCGAAAGCAGGUCAUAGUGAUCCGGUGGUCCUGUAUGGAAAGGCCAUCGCUCAACGGAUAAAAGGUACUCCGGAUAACAGGCUUAUCACGCCCAAGAGUUCACAUCGACGGCGUGGUUUGGCACCUCGAUGUCGGCUCAUCGCAUCCUGGGGCUGAAGUAGGUCCCAAGGGUUCGGCUGUUCGCCGAUUAAAGCGGUACGCGAGCUGGGUUCAAAACGUCGUGAGACAGUUUGGUCCCUAUCCGCCGUGGGCGCAGGAGACUUGAGAGGAGCUAACCUUAGUACGAGAGGACCGGGUUGGACUGACCUCUAGUGUUCCGGUUGUGGCACCAGCCGCAUCGCCGGGUAGCUACGUCGGGAAUGGAUAACCGCUGAAAGCAUCUAGGCGGGAAGCCAGCCUCAAGAUUAGGUCUCCCAGGUCGUAAGACCCUAAAGGCCCCUCGUAGACCACGAGGUAAUAGGCUGGGUGUGGAAGCGUAGUAAUACGUGAAGCUGACCAGUACUAAUCGGCCGUGCGGCUUGACCAC
rnacentral:rRNA from 1 species